rnacentral:rRNA from 1 species
GGGUUGUGAGGUUAAGCGACUAAGCGUACACGGUGGAUGCCCUGGCAGUCAGAGGCGAUGAAGGACGUGCUAAUCUGCGAUAAGCGUCGGUGAGGUGAUAUGAACCGUUAUAACCGGCGAUUUCCGAAUGGGGAAACCCAGUGUGUUUCGACACACUAUCAUUAACUGAAUCCAUAGGUUAAUGAGGCGAACCGGGGGAACUGAAACAUCUAAGUACCCCGAGGAAAAGAAAUCAACCGAGAUUCCCCCAGUAGCGGCGAGCGAACGGGGAGGAGCCCAGAGCCUGAAUCAGUGUGUGUGUUAGUGGAAGCGUCUGGAAAGGCGUGCGAUACAGGGUGACAGCCCCGUACACAAAAAUGCACAUAUUGUGAGCUCGAUGAGUAGGGCGGGACACGUGGUAUCCUGUCUGAAUAUGGGGGGACCAUCCUCCAAGGCUAAAUACUCCUGACUGACCGAUAGUGAACCAGUACCGUGAGGGAAAGGCGAAAAGAACCCCGGCGAGGGGAGUGAAAAAGAACCUGAAACCGUGUACGUACAAGCAGUGGGAGCCUCUUAAUGGGGUGACUGCGUACCUUUUGUAUAAUGGGUCAGCGACUUAUAUUCUGUAGCAAGGUUAACCGAAUAGGGGAGCCGAAGGGAAACCGAGUCUUAACUGGGCGUUAAGUUGCAGGGUAUAGACCCGAAACCCGGUGAUCUAGCCAUGGGCAGGUUGAAGGUUGGGUAACACUAACUGGAGGACCGAACCGACUAAUGUUGAAAAAUUAGCGGAUGACUUGUGGCUGGGGGUGAAAGGCCAAUCAAACCGGGAGAUAGCUGGUUCUCCCCGAAAGCUAUUUAGGUAGCGCCUCGUGAAUUCAUCUCCGGGGGUAGAGCACUGUUUCGGCAAGGGGGUCAUCCCGACUUACCAACCCGAUGCAAACUGCGAAUACCGGAGAAUGUUAUCACGGGAGACACACGGCGGGUGCUAACGUCCGUCGUGAAGAGGGAAACAACCCAGACCGCCAGCUAAGGUCCCAAAGUCAUGGUUAAGUGGGAAACGAUGUGGGAAGGCCCAGACAGCCAGGAUGUUGGCUUAGAAGCAGCCAUCAUUUAAAGAAAGCGUAAUAGCUCACUGGUCGAGUCGGCCUGCGCGGAAGAUGUAACGGGGCUAAACCAUGCACCGAAGCUGCGGCAGCGACACUAUGUGUUGUUGGGUAGGGGAGCGUUCUGUAAGCCUGUGAAGGUGGCCUGUGAGGGUUGCUGGAGGUAUCAGAAGUGCGAAUGCUGACAUAAGUAACGAUAAAGCGGGUGAAAAGCCCGCUCGCCGGAAGACCAAGGGUUCCUGUCCAACGUUAAUCGGGGCAGGGUGAGUCGACCCCUAAGGCGAGGCCGAAAGGCGUAGUCGAUGGGAAACAGGUUAAUAUUCCUGUACUUGGUGUUACUGCGAAGGGGGGACGGAGAAGGCUAUGUUGGCCGGGCGACGGUUGUCCCGGUUUAAGCGUGUAGGCUGGUUUUCCAGGCAAAUCCGGAAAACCAAGGCUGAGGCGUGAUGACGA